rnacentral:rRNA from 1 species
UGAGGAAUAUUGGUCAAUGGGCGAGAGCCUGAACCAGCCAAGUAGCGUGCAGGACGACGGCCCUAUGGGUUGUAAACUGCUUUUAUACGGGAAUAAAGUGACGCCUGCGGGCGUUAUUGCAUGUACCGUACGAAUAAGGACCGGCUAAUUCCGUGCCAGCAGCCGCGGUAAUACGGAAGGUCCGGGCGUUAUCCGGAUUUAUUGGGUUUAAAGGGUGCGUAGGCUGUUUGUCAAGUCAGAGGUGAAAGGCCGCAGCUCAACUGUGGAAUUGCCUUUGAUACUGGCAGGCUUGAAUACUGUUGCCGUGGGAGGAAUGAGUAGUGUAGCGGUGAAAUGCAUAGAUAUUACUCAGAACACCGAUUGCGAAGGCAUCUCACGAAGCA